rnacentral:lncRNA from 1 species
GUUUUUGGGUGAAAUUGAUUGAUGUUUGAUUGAGGUUGAUUUCUGUCAUUUAAUUCUUCACAGCAUUGAGAUGUUCAAGCCUGCUUUCAAAGGUCAUGAGAGUUCAUUGGAGUUCUCCCCAAGAGAUAGAAUCCCUGAUGUUGAUUUGAACAACAACGGGAGUGUAUUCUUCAUCCGAGCUAGCCAUCACUUGAGUUACAAGAUCUGAGUGAGGAAUGGGUUUUCCAGCGAUCUCAAGAUUGUCUGCCAGAAGCUUUACUUUGUUAAGGUAUUGAUCGAUGCUCAUGGUUCCUUUUCUCGAUUUAUGAUGUUCCCCAGUGAGAAAUGUUAUCUUGGAUUUGUUUUGGAUGCCACUCUCUUUCACUGCAGUCCACAGUUUGUUAGAGUUACUGCACUGCAGCCCAUGACCCUCAUGGCUAUAUCAGGGGUCAUUGAUGAGUAGAGCCACCCCAUUAGCAGCUGAUCUGUUGACAACCACUGGUCAUAUUCAGGGUUCUUUUUCAUCUCAACUACCAUUCCUGCAUCUCCAGUGAUUUGGGUGCCAAUGAAUUCUGGACACACCUUUGUCCCCAGAAUGUAUCCUUCCAAAUUGUGUCCUUUUAUAAUGGGGAGGAUCAUGUUUUGCCAAAGCAGAAAGGUGUUCUUGUCUAGCUUGACAGACAACAUUUGGGUUAGGUAGACACCAAAUGGUGGGGAGUGGUUGCUUCCCUGCACUGGAGGCACCACUGUGUUUGAUUCAGAUGUUGGAACUGGAGGAGAGUUGGAAUUGGCGUUGGCCAUUGCAGCUCUGAUACCAAGUUAAAAAAUGAUCUAUAUUUCUUGGUGUUUAUCUUCACAUUUAUAGACGCCCCAGCUAAGGGAAUUUAUAUACAUUACAAUGAAGAAAAACUUGGAGAAUAAGUUACAAGAAAAUUCUAGAAUAUACAGCUGGAGCAAUAUCCUUGAAUCAUGAUUGUGAAUGGAAUCCACUAAUCACAGAAUUCCUGAAAGCAUCAGAAAUUGCUGAUAAGCUGAUUAACUGAUGGAUUCUUGAGCUGAAGGUUGACUUAUCUUGACACACGGGGGUUCGUUAAUAGAUGCUCCAUUCUCUCUGGCCACAACAAAGGUAGCUCUGUGUUGCAACGGGCUCUAAUCGGAAUCAAUCGUAUAGGAAUUUACAAUAAUGAGAACAUUGGGAUCAAAAUGAAAGGUGGAGAGUAGUGGGAAUUUACUCACAUCAGAAUGUGCAUCCGAGUAAAACAUGCCCUCAAUCAAUUUCAGAAAUCCUGGCAAAACAGGCAUGAAAUCAUUCUAAAAAACGAUCGCUUUCCAUUUUCAUUGACAGAAUACGCAUUGAAUUUUAACGGUACUUCAGCAGAGCAGUAAAUAUAAGCAACUUCAAAUGGAAGAACUCGUCACAAUCUCAUUUACCCAUCUUCCAUCACUAUAAACAAAUCAAGAACCUAAAUAAAUGGAAAAUGAAAGAGAAGCUCACCCCAGGUAGUUCGAAACACGUUAAAAUAGUAUCACAAAAUGGGUUGGGAAUUACCUUCAUUUGGUCCCUCCAUGUCCACUUCAACUGACGGUCGAAGAAGAUGCACAACCUUGUUAAACUUCUUCAGACAGCCGUGACUUCACGUUCGGAUUUAGGGGACGUCGAUUUGGAGGGUUCUUCUCCAAGGACUUUUCUUCC